AAAAAAAAACCCCGGAAACAAAACCCAGAGUCCGCUCGACUCCUCCACCUCUCCAUGGACCCCACCGCCGCCUUCCUCCCGGUGGUCCCCCUAACCCCCUCCGGCCGCCCAAUCCACCUCCCCUCCGAGACCUACCUCUCCACCGUGGGCCCCAUCGAGCUCACCCCCGACGAAAACCCUAGCCUCCCCUCCCUCAAAUCCCAAACCCUGAUCCUCACCUCCCACCGCCUCCUCUUCCUCUCCGGCGGCGCCUCAUCCUCCUCCUGGGCCCGGUCCCUCCCCCUCGCCGCCGUCGUCCACGCCUUCCCGCCAAAGAAGUCGAUCAAGUCCAUGUUCUCCAGUCCUAAGAUCCGGAUCCAGGUCCUUAACGGAUCCAGAUCCGAGAUCCUGACGAUCGCGCUGAGAGGAGGGAAGGGGGAUCUGGAUGUGUUCUUUGAGAGGCUUUGGGAGGCGAUGAGGGCUAGGGUUUGGGAGGUGGAGGAGAAGGAGAGGGAGGCGAAGGAGGAGGAGAGGGUGAGGGAGGAGGUGAGGAUUAGGGUUCCGGUGGUGGGGGUUUCGGGGAUUUUGAGGAAGGAGCAGGAGAGCUGGGAGAGCACUGAUAAGAGCUUGCAGGAGGCAUUUCAGGAUCUCAAUGCUUUGAUGAGUAAAGCUAAGGAGAUGGUGAUGCUAGCAGAAAAAAUGAGGUUAAAGUUGUUAUCGGGCUCGACUUCUCAAGCGAGUGCUGGUGAGGAAGAAAUGGGUUCGAAGCAAGAGAUGCAAGAUUGGAUGCUGAGUAUUGGUAUCAUAUCACCAGUUACGAAGGAAUCGGCUGGCGCUAUGUAUCAUCAGCAAUUAUCGCGACAGUUAGCAGAUUUUGUCAAAUUACCACUUGAGAAAGCUGGAGGAAUGAUGGCGGUGAUAGAUAUUUACUGUCUUUUUAAUCGUGCCAGAGGGACAGAAUUGAUUUCACCUGAGGAUCUUUUACAAGCUUGUGCUCUUUGGGAGAAAAUUGAUGUCCCUGUCAUGCUUCGGAAGUUUGACAGUGGAGUAAUGGUCAUUCAGAACAAGGCUCACAGUGACGAGGAGGUCUUUGCAAGAAUCAAAUCCCUUGCAGAAAAACCAGAUGCGCUUCGUACAGGAAUAAGCCCGAGCGAUGCUGCACUCACACUAGGAAUAGCACCGGCUCUAGCAAAGGAACACCUGCUUACUGCUGAAACCAAAGGACUCUUGUGUAGAGACAUCAGCCCUGAUGGUUUCCGCUUCUAUGCCAAUCUUUUCAUUGAAUUUGAUCCAAAAAAUAUUUAUAGUAUUAGAGAGUAUGGCCUCUUUCAAGCAUGGAUUUCUGCUACUUCUGUUUCUGGGUAAGCAACUGCUGGGUCUGUAAAGUACAUUGCUUUUCUUUUUAGGCGCAAUUGGUUCACCAUAAAAUAUCGCAAGUUGAAUAUGGAGUUGGCGAAGCUUGCAUCACAAUGUAUCAUGUUGGAGGUCUCAAUAAGGAAGUUUGGAUCAAAAUGAGAAAAUGCAAGGAUGUGGCCGCUCACUUUGUAUCUUUUGCACUAACACAAUAUUCAAUGUCUUGGAAUCUUUAGACGUACAAAUAUAUAUUUGACAAGUUUCAGACCAAAUAGCGAAGCUCAUGCCAAAAGCAUGAAGGUCAAGUGACACCGCUCUAUCUCGCAAAUUGAGAGCAUCAAAUUUUUUAAUAGAGAAAGGGGAUGCGUAUUCAUUGGUACAUGGAAAAUUUUGCUUCAAGGCUCUAAAAUUGAAAACUUGACGUGUCUCAGCUCUCUGUACUUUUUUCUAAUGUGUAUUAGCCCCAAAAAUAGAAAUUCUUUGUGAUUCGGCCCUUAUUACAAUUUCUAAGAAAAUAAAGUCCAAAAAAACCCAAAAUACCCCUCUUCUUCUCCAGAUCUUCUCCUUCUUCCUCCUCUCUCUCAGAUCUCUCUC